rnacentral:tRNA from 2 species
CGGGGCGUAGCGCAGCCUGGUAGCGCACCACACUGGGGGUGUGGUGGUCGCAAGUUCAAAUCUUGCCGUCCCGACCA